rnacentral:lncRNA from 1 species
AGCUCCUCAGGGGACUCACAUGGGUAGCAAAGCAGAAGAAUCGCUGCCUUGUAGAGCAGCACUGAGGAGUAAAUUCGAUGGCGAGGGCUUGCCAUGGUGAGUGCUCAGGAAAAGCGACUUCUGUUAUCCUUGUUUUUGGGGUACAGAAGUUUAAGAUCAGAAGAGUGAAUGGCCUGAACCCACACACUUAAGUAGGAGCUCUAGCACCAAAAUACAGCUCAUCCUUAUCACAUCCGACUUCGAAGACCGCCAGGCUCUCUCCCUAGGUCUCUGUCCCUUAAUUUUGUCCAACCCUGGGUCCUUGGAAAGUAACCAGUGGAAAAACGGUCAGCAAACUGGAGCCCAUUGGCGAAUUCCCGCCGUUAUCUACUUUUGUAAAGAAUACGGGGGGAUAAAGUUGUCUGGGAAGCAGCCCAUUCAUUUACUGCUUUUGUGCUACAACAGCAGAGUUGAAUCAUCACGACAGAGCCGACUAUAUUCAGUAUCUGGCCCUUGAUAAGAAUGCUUUGCUGACCCUUGCAAUAGAGAAACAAUAACCAAGAUGAUGAUUCAUCACAGUUGAUGACCCAGAAUGCUGAUUUUCCCAGAAAAUGAAAGAGAGAAUACACCUGAAUAAUUGAAACGUCUAACUUCACAAGAAAGCAGACUGAGGCCAAAGGAGGUGUUGGACUGGCUCAGGUCAUAAGGCCGCUUAGGAGCCAGGGCAGAAAUGUAAUCCAGAUUUUCUGUCUUCCAUUCAGUGCUGCUCGCAAACCACUGCAAUUCAACUUAAAUAAAGCAGCUAUUCAAGGGAGAGGUUUGAAUGGGAGAUGGGGAGGUGUGGGCCCAACCCCAGGAAGAAGAGACUGGAGGAUGACUGCUCUGAAGCAACAGGUAUGAAAAGGGGUAUAUUAAAAUUUCACACACACAACAAGGCAAACUUCUCUGAUAGAGCACCAUGCCAGCCCAGACCAACACCAGAAAUUACGACAUUUCCAUGGGCCCUAGGCACUAGGCCUCCCGCACCAAGGAGGAGUCUGCGCUGCCUCCCGAGCUAUCACGAAGGUAUAAGACUGUCUUCCAGGUGGUGAAAUAAAUGGGUGAUCUGCCCUGGAGGAGAGGAGACAUCAUAAACUCAGCAGGACAGUGUGCACGGACUGUGGG